GUGCCAGCAGCCGCGGUAAUCCCAGAUCCAAUAGCGUAUAUUAAAGUUGUUGCAGGUAAAAAGCACGGAGGUUGAAACUUGGGCCUGGCUGGCAGGUCCGCCUCACCGCGUGUACUUGUCCGGCCGGGCCUUUCCUUCUGGAGAACCUCAUGCCCUUCACUGGGUGUGUUGGGGAACCAGGACUUUUACUUUGAAAAAAUUAGAGUGUUCAAAGCAGGCCUUUGCUCGAAUACGUUAGCAUGGAAUAAUAGAAUAGGACGUGCGGUCCUAUUUUGUUGGUUUCUAGGACCGCCGUAAUGAUUAAUAGGGGACAGUCGGGGGCAUCAGUAUUCAAUUGUCAGAGGUGAAAAUUCUUGGAUUUAUUGAAGACUUAACUACUGCGAAAGUUUUUGCAAGGAUGGUUUCAUUAAUCAGUGAACGAAAAGUUAGGGGAUCGAAGAAAACCAGAAUACCGUCCGAGUCUUAACCGUAUACUAUUCCCGACUAGAGAUCGGGCGAUGUUCUUUUUUCUGACUCCCGUCGGGCCCCUUACAAGAAAAUCAAAAGUUUUUGGUUUUCUGGG
rnacentral:rRNA from 1 species